GACACGUGCAUCCUGCUGUGUCUGGCUCCUUGGGCGCAGCAUCCCAGGUCCCUCCCUGGCAGAGCGUGAAUCAGAAUUCAUUCCAAGCCUCCCCGGUGGUUUCAAGAAAACACGUGGCUGCCGUGUGCAGCCCCGUGAGGUGGAGGCAGGAAGAGGAGGAAGCGCUGGAGUCCAGCGAGGCGGUGACAGCUGCAUCCAGGAGGUUGGCACCAGGAGGCAGGGAUGGAGGAGGUAAUUAAGAUGAAGUCACAAUGGAUGAAGGGCAGGGGACCUACAUCCAAAGGCUGGUGUCCUUAAAAGAAAUGAAGAGACGCAGAGGCACCCAGAGGGAAGACCGUCAUGGGACAUUGGAGAUAGAGAUUGGAGGAAUUCAGGAAUGAGCCAGUGAGCACCAGGACCUGCAAGAGAACCAGCCUUCAGCAGGAGCAGUGGCCCUGAUGACACCUGGGUUUCAGAGUUCCAGCCUCCAGAAUUGUGGGAAAAUAUCUUUCUGUUGUUUUAAGUCA